CUUGGUGUUUCUCGCGAAGGGGGUACACCUGUUCCCAUCCCGAACACAGCAGUUAAGCCCUUCAGCGCCGAUGGUAGUGCGGCAUGCGCCGUGUGAGAGUAGGCAGACGCCAAGA
rnacentral:rRNA from 2 species